rnacentral:tRNA from 1 species
GCUGGAGUGGCGAAUUUGGUAGACGCACCAGAUUUAGGUUCUGGCGCCGCAAGGUGUGAGAGAUCAAGUCUCGCCUCCCGCACCA